AGAGGAAGGUGGAAGGGGGAGGUUCAAGACCCACUCAAACGCACCUGCAAGAAUUGCAGACAGAGAGAAGAAAGCUCCACUUAAGCAAUAAGACACACUUGAUCAUCCUAAUUGAUCUCAUUUAAGACUUCAUAUGUAUUGUAUUGCAGUAUGUGAACAUAUUUGCAAACUAAUAUUAAAAGUUGGAACCGUUUGUGUUUUAAAAUAAGUUGAAAGUAUAGUUGUCCGCCACCAUUUCUUUAUAUAUGUUAUUAGUCCUGAAAUGAGCUCAUCAUAUCUGGAGGUGAAGCUUAUUGGUUUCAUAUUUUGACAAGAGAUAAGAACAGAUUCUUUCAAGAACAUUAGAAAGCAAAAGAUAAAAUGGUCCAAACAGUGACAUUGCAAUCUUCAAACUAAUCAUAUCUAAAAGAUACACAGAGAUUGCGUCUUUAUCUAUAAUCCGUGUUUAGUGGGGGACCAACAAGCUGUUGAAACGAUGGUUACUUAGCCUCUCUGGCUCUUUGCCCACAUAUGCCUCCCUGUUACUUGAGCCGGUGGGUACAGAUCCGAACCAGCACUACGCUUCACAUCCACAUCUCCGUUGAAAGACAUUGACUGUUUCUUCUCAAACGGUGUUUUGGAACAAGACGAUGAAGAAGAACCUGACCUUCUCUGCUUAGCUUUGAUAGACUGCGUCAAGCUCAUGUAGCUUGGCUUUCUGUAAUACCCUCCUUCCUCAAGGAAGCUUCCUGAGAAGGGAACCGGGGACUGAGACGUAGAGGAAGUCUCGGAACUAGUAGCUGAUGAUGACAUUGGAGGAGGUCUAGCUAAAACUCUGGUUGUGAGACUGUUCUUCCUAACCUGAACCGCGUCGUGUUCAGACACGCUGCUCUCGCUUUUCCUUGCGUUGUUGUCUGAUGAGUUUGUGGGACCACCUUCCAUCAACCGCCCUUCCCAUGGCCUGUCUGCAACCCAUCUGUCGAGCCAGUUCCAACCCGGACUGCUCUUGCAUGACCCGCUACUCUUCUUAACGCUCCCUUGUUUGUUCACCUUAGCGUUAGGGCUUGGACACGUCCUUGGCUGUCAAAGAUUUUGAGAAAACUCAGUAAACACAAAUGUCUCUGAAAGAGUUAAUUAAGUGCUUUUCAAGCCGUUUUACCUGGUGUGUGAGUGCAUAUACCAUAGCUCUCUCCCUCUUGAUAGCUCCUUCUUGCCUCAUUUGUAGCUUCGUUCUCACUUCAUUCACACUUCCAGGGCUAUCACACCAACCCUUCUACACGAAAAACAUCAAUGCAAAGUUUAGUCUUCUCUUACAUGCCUCAUGCCUUUGUCUGAUAAUAUUAUUACCUCAGCUUGCUUAGCAGGAUCAUUCUUUUCUUCAGAUGGCUUCUCCAACUCCUGUCCAUCUGAAGGAGCCCUGUUGCAAUGAGCUCGUACACGAGCUUGGACUCGAACAAGAGCUUGCAUACACCUUAAUGUCACAUCAGCUUGCUUCCUGACUUGCCUUCCACGGAAUAUCGCCUGAAUCCUCACCACCGCCUUCAAAGCUCUCAGCGCCUGCCUUGCCUAUAAAAAACAUUGACCACAAAAGCUUCAGACAAAACUGAAUUGACUAAGUUCAUUAGUUGUUGAUGUUUUGACUUAAAGUUUCUAACUUUAUGAAAGUAACAACCAUAUAGACACAAGUCACUGCAAUGAUCAAGUCUCUAAUGUCCAUGUAAGAGUGUGUUUGACUUAAAGUUUCUAACUUUAUGAAUGUAAAGACACAACUCAUUGCAAUUAUCAAGUCUCUAAUGUCCAUGUAAGAGUCAAUGUACCAGGAAAGAUCGAAAAGCAGCUUGGAUCCGAGUUGCAGCCCAUUCACGUUUAACAAGAAGGAAAUCUUUAGGUGGAGCUCUGAUAACAGCAGCAACAGACGCGGCAAAAGAAUCGUCGGCGGAGAAAGAAGGUGGAUCUGAGCCAAGAGAAGGAGUUCCAUAGCUACCAGCACGGCUCUUGAAACCUUUUGAGGAGGAGAUGAAACUCUCUGAAGAAGUCCUCCACAGUUUCCAUUUCUUCUUGCUGUUCUUAUCACCUAACUGAAAAAAGAUCAAUGCUUUAUAAGAGAGAUCGAAUCAUGGAGAUAGAGAAAGAGAGAGGCUUUGGAGAUUACCUGAUGAUCAUCAGUGAUGGGUUUUUUGUUAGAAAUCAGAGACUUAAUCCAGUUUCCAGAGCCACCCAUUUGUCAAGUUGGAGACUUUGUAAUCAGUUACUGUGGAGAAAGAUCAGAUUCGAGGAUAUAACUGGUAAAGGAUUCUUGGGAAGCGAGGAGGAAGAAGAUGAAGAAAGAGAGAGAAAGUUUUGGUGGCCUGUGAAUGAUGUAGACAAAAAGGGUUUGUAAUGUUAAAAGAAGAGAGAAGAAGCAUUUGAAAUUUGAAAUUUUGGGCGAAGGAAGAGAAAAGCAUUUGUUUAAUUUAAACAACGGUAACAUUGACAUCUCGCUUUCGUCUCGUAAUAAAUAAAUAAAAGGAUAAUAAAUGACUCUUUUAACUUUGGAAAAUUAAAUAAUUUAUAUCUCAUGUCCCGCGUGGUGAUAAUGUUUACUAAAUAUGCUUUUAGGUCCAUGUAUAUAUGAAUUGUUAUGAAAGGACCACUAACUAUUUAUUUCUUUGUCUUUUCACCCCGUAACUCUUGUAAGCGUUAAAAAGUCCAUUUAGUGUUUUUAAUUUGUAUGGGAUCCAUCUUAGUGGUAUUGGUUUUUGUAUCGGGACUAGGUAAUAAUCUGCGCCUUGCGCGGAAUGUGAUUAUUAGUUUCGUUAUUUUUAAUAAAAACAAAUUAAAUUUGUUUAAUCUGGAUAUCAGUUUGGUUUUAAGUUAUUUUUUUGUUUUAAUCUCAUAAAAUAUAACUAUUAUUUUAAAUUAAUAUUUAUUUUGGUUUAUUCGGUUAGAAUGUUUGAUUUUUUAGUUUUUUCUGUAAAAACCAAAAAUUACUAUUAUUUUUUUAUUUUCAUGUUAUGAAUUUUAGAUAGUCGUCGUGUCGAACCAAUGGUUUCAUAUCAUAGUUUGUAAACGGAUAAUAGUUCAAGAAAAAUAAAAAAAAUUAUUAAGACAAAUAAUUUCACUACAAUUUGAUCAGUAGUGAAAGAAGCAUUAAGAAAAAAAUAUUUCAACUUCCAAAAAAAAAUAGAUACUUCAGUUGUCGUAAAUACUUAGUCACAAGGUGCUCACAUCAAGGUGCACAUGUAUGUGUAUGUAAAAGUAUAUAAAAAUAGUUGACAAUUAUAUAAAGAUAUUGUUAAUUAAUAUUAAAUGACAUUUUGUUCAAAAUAAUACAUGAAAGAUAAAAUUAAAAUUAAUUAAAAAUUAAAAAGGCCUUGACAUUAGUGAAUUUUUUUCAUAUAAAGAAAAAUAAAUUGUAUCUGUAAAUAGAGGUGAGCACAUAUCAAAUAUCCGGGUAUUUGGAGGCAUUUAUGUCGAUUCAAUCUUUAGCCACAUGGAUAGUCGGUGACUCUGAUAUCCGAAAUGAUUUAGAAUUUUAAAGAAUAUCCGAUUUGAUCCGUAGAUAAAAUAAAAUUUUAAAAAUAAUUGAAAAUUUUAAUAAUAACAUUUUAUUACAAAAAUAAAAAAUAUAUAUUAUUUAACUUUUAGAAUUUACCUAAUAUAAUAAAUUUAAUUCAUAAAAAUAUGUAAAACUUAUACAAACUAUAAUAUAUAUAACAUAUAUAUAUAUAAUUUUGUACAUAUAUGUAUAUAUAUGUAUAUAACAGAUCGAAUUAGAUAUCCGUUCCUAAUAAUAUUGGUAUUUGUGAUUUGUUUUUUUUUUAUAUAUUGUAUUUUAGUAUUUGAUUUGCUUCUUAAAGUUACGGAUAUCCAUAUUUUUUGGUUCAAAUCAAAACGGAUAACGAAUCAAAUCAAAAUUUAUAAAUAUUUUGCCUAACUUUAUCCGUAAAUAAUAAAAAUAAUAUAUAUAUAGUUUAACUUUAGAUUCGUUAUUUGUUUUGAUUCGAACCGAAAAAUCCAAAGUUUUAUUGAAAGUGAGUUUUAUAUUAAAAAAUACGAAAUAUAUAGUAUAUAUGAACACAUUUAUGAAUAUAGUGUGAACGCGUUAGCAUAUUUAUUAUCAAAUCAUUAUGAGGUUGCCACGUGUCUAUUAUAGUACGUGUCUAUUAUAGUGUGAAUGCAUUUAUUACGAUGUUUUUUUUUAAUAUAUAAGGGAUUAUAUAAAAAAUAUGUCAUCUGUUAUAGAAAAAUAGCAUUUUCGAAAAUGGAAGAUUAGAAAAUAAAACAACCUUGAAGUGGACAAAGAAAACAAUCUUGAUGUGGACAAAAAACAAUCUAGUGGAAACAUAUGAUAUAACAUCAGUUUAACAUUUAAAAAAAAAAACACAGUACGACACGGUGAUUAUAGAAAGGGGAAUUGGGUUGUAGAAAUGAAUACUACAAAAGUUGGUAGUGUGGUUAGAUCAUAGACCCAGUCACUAUAGAAAUAAAGAAAACCAAUAAUACAAAUCCACCACUAUGACAAUGUUCAUCUCAAUAUUAUAAUUUCUUUGUAUUUUAGUUUUAAACACUUAUAAAUCCACUAAAUACAAAUCUUUAGACAAAUUCUUAUUAUUGAAUAAUAUUGAUUCUAAAAUAUGUUACCGAUUUUAAAAUCAAGAAUCGAUAACAAUUGAUUUAAAUAUAAGAAUCGAUAACAGUUGAUUUAAAUAUAGAUUUCAAAAUCAUAAAACCAAUAAUGACACAUUCCAAAUACAAGAACCAAUAACAUCAGCUUAAUGUGAACAAUACAUUCUCUCAAUAAUCUCCACUUAUUCAGUUUAUUAACAAACGCAAAGAACAAUAAUAACUGUAGCAGUGAGAGUGUUCUUUUAUUACAGAAAAUCACUUCAGUCGCCAUUAUGCCUCUUGUGCUUUGUGGAAAUCAGGUUUACAAACGUUCAGAAAGCCUCUAGACGAGACCAAGGAUGCUUUAUACGUUUCUAUUUCAGAGAGUUCUCGAUAUCAAUCACAAACCGGUACUUGAUGUCCUUCUUCACCACCCUUUCAAUAGCUUCGUUUGCCUUCUGAAUGGGAAUCACCUCAAUGUUGGGAUAAAUCUUAUGAGCUGCACAAAAAUCUAUCAUCUCCUGAGUCACCUUGGUACCUCCACUUACACUUCCCGCAAGCACUCUCAUACCUGUAUACCAAUGAUCCUUAUGGUCUAAGCAUCUUGAGGGUAUGUAUGUAAGCGUAUAACAAAGAGAUGCGUACCAAGGUUGAGAGUGGCAGGCUGGAUUUUAAUCUCACUUGGGAAACCAACCAGGACAUAAGUCCCAGCGAUCUUCAACAGCGACAUGUAAGGAUCAAACGCGUGAUCACCAGACGCUGUGUCAAUGAUAAAGUCUAGAGACUUCGCUAGUGCCUGCCAAGUUAACAUCACGUAGCUACCAAGUUAGGUUUUGGUUCCAUCCCUAAGAAAACCCCUCUCUCUCUCUACGUACCUUCAUCUGGUCAUGGGCAGAGGAGAUAACGAAGUUGUUAGCUCCAAGCAGACUCAAAGCCUCCUCUUUCUUGGAGACGCUGGUGCUGAACACCGUCACAUGAAGUCCAAAAGCCUUGCCGAACUUAACCGCCAUGUGGCCAAGCCCACCAAGCCCAACCACGCCAAGAGAUUUACCAGGCUGGUUCAUAUUGUGACGCAUCAUGGGAGCAUAGACAGUGACGCCAGCGCAUAGCAACGGCGCAGCUGAUUCCAAGGGAUAGUCCACAGGUAUCUUAUAACAAUACCUAUUGUAUCAAACUCAUCAGCCACUCACUCACUCACUCACAACUUUUUUAAAGAAUAUGACAAAAGAGAGAGAGAGAGAUGAUUAUAAAACCAACCUCUCGUGAACAACGAUGUGGCUAGAGUAGCCUCCUUUGGUAACAGAGCCAUCGUAAUCAACGCCGUUGAAAGUGAAGACUUGCCCUUUCACACAGCUAACCUCUUGUCCUUCGUCGCAGUAAUCACACUCCCUGCAGGAGUUAACAAACGUGCCGACACCAACGUGGUCUCCGACUUUGAACCGUGUGACAUUAGAUCCAACCUUGUUCACUACUCCAGCAAUCUCAUGCCUUAAAAACAGAGGAAUAUUUAAAUUAAAUAAAAACAUUAGGGAAGGUCAAAGUUGGAAGCUUUAAUAAGAGAUGGGUAUUGUUCAAAAAAACAUACCCAGGAACCAAAGGGUACUUAGAGUCACCAUGUUUGUUUUUUGUCCAGAUGACGUCAGCGUAACAGACACCACAGUGUGUGAUUUUUAGUGAAACGUCAUCGCUUGUUACAGAUCUGGUCAUGGAUAUGAACAUGGUGUAUCAAAUCAUUUGCAUGAGAUGAGGAUUGGUGGAUGGUUAAUGAAACGUACCUGCGAGUGAACGUGUGAGGGGAGAGGAGACCAGAUGGAUCUCGUGCAGCCCAACUCAAGCACUCGUCUCCUCCGGGAGAACUCAUCGGCGGUUUCGAUUCUUCCAUUACCUAAUCAAUGAUCAUCGUCUUCUUCUUCUUAGCUGGCUUGCAGAAUAUGAACAUGGUUCAUUAAAUUUUAGGGAAAAUUGUUUUUUAGAGCUAAACAAAUGAUAACCAUUUUCUUUUAUAUUAAUAUCUAUUUUAUGCAAUUUUUGUCUAUAAUACCUCUUAAUAUUUUUGAAAAUAAAUUUAAUAAAUAGUUUUACAAACAAAAAAAAUUAGAAAAAUAGUAACUAUUGAUAAAAUACCUAUAUGAACUUAUUGAUAUUUUUUCAAUUCUAAAAAUGUUUAAAUCAUAAUUUUCAGAUUCUAUUCUAAAUAAAGUAGAAAUGACAUUCUACGAAUUAGAAAACGAAAUCCAUUUUUUUCAUUGAAUCUAUAAUGUUUAGAAUAUGUGAUCGACGUAAAUAAGAAUAUUCUAAAAAUAUUUAGAAUACACAUUCCGCGCUUAACCUACCGAUCUAAAAUCUUUAGAAAUCAAAAUCUACACAUUAAUAUAAAUCUAAAACACGUAGAAACCGACUUCUACAGAUUUACUGUAAAUCUGAAACAUGUAGAAAUCAAAAUCUACGCAUUACUAUAAUUCUAAAAACCUGUAGAAACCGAUUUCUACAUAUUAGUUGUAAGAAAAAGGUAUGGAGGCACAAAUCAUUUUUUUAUCUGAUCUCUCUAAUAUCAAAUGUUGAUGAUGCUGGUGAAAAUUUUCAGGAGAGAGAGGAAGGUGGAAGGGGGAGGUUCAAGACCCACUCAAACGCACCUGCAAGAAUUGCAGACAGAGAGAAGAAAGCUCCACUUAAGCAAUAAGACACACUUGAUCAUCCUAAUUGAUCUCAUUUAAGACUUCAUAUGUAUUGUAUUGCAGUAUGUGAACAUAUUUGCAAACUAAUAUUAAAAGUUGGAACCGUUUGUGUUUUAAAAUAAGUUGAAAGUAUAGUUGUCCGCCACCAUUUCUUUAUAUAUGUUAUUAGUCCUGAAAUGAGCUCAUCAUA
rnacentral:lncRNA from 1 species